CUUGCGCUGGAUUGCUUCGGCCACCCGGUUCAGCUUAUUCUCGUUGCGGGCAACCAGCACAAUGUUCAUGCGCCUACCGGCCAGAUAUUCAGCGUAACCCUUUCCGAUGCCAUCGGAGGCUCCGGUGAUCACUGCAAGCAAGAAAACGGUUUCGGGGGUAAAACGAGCUGCGCGAUGCCGUGCAGAACCAGCGAGGCGGGUGUGCGGAGAUUUUCGUACAACCAGCAGAUCGAGCAGUACGCUCCUAUGAGUGCCAAAAUUGCACAAACAAAUGGCCACAUUGUAAAGCAGACGCCCCCGGACGCUUGUGCUCCUGGAGAGUGCUGACGAAUAACUAAACAUUACCAGAUUCGGUGGCUUCCCUAACGCGCGGAAUCGAUACCCAACGACUAUUAUUAGAUAGAGAUCAUUCUAACUACCUGCGCGCGAGUAUCGUGUUUCACAUCACGCCGCCGGUGCACGCUGAUAGCAUAGCACAUCGAGCACACCGCGUCGACACGCGUGGGAAUUAAAUAUAAUUACACUACUACAACACUCCCGCCGGGCGGCGGGUGUUUGUGGUGCAGUCGCUGAGAUGCACUCACAGUGCGUUUGACCUGGCCGGGAUGCAGGAAAUGCAGUGCCGCUGCCACACGGUUCAGUUUGGUGAAGGACAUCGCGAUGGAUGAAUGGAGCACCCUGUACACGCGAUGCAAAUGAGCUUCUUGUUGAUCAGCCCAAACAUGUAAACGCGCACAACCUCCGGCACCAUGCUGAGGCCGGCCAGCUGCAGCCCGUGUGACCAGUGACCGCUGGUCAUGUCAACCUUGCCAAUCGUGCAGCCAGCGUACGCCAUAAAGUUGUCCACCCGGACCAUCAUAUUUUUGCUCCAUUUCUCCUUGCCCGUGACCAGGAAGUCGGUCAUGUUGGUGUGCACGAACGAGGGACGGACGGUUUGCACCUCCACCCCGAACGGUCGCAGCUCGUCGCGCAGCGCAAUCGAGAAGCUGGUCAUGUACGCUUUCGAGGCGGCGUACGUGGCCAUACAGGGCGAAGGGCAGACGGAGGCAAUCGAGGACACGUUUAUGAUGAGACCCCGCUGCCGCCGUUUCAUGGAGGGCGCAAGGAUGUUGCAGAGCAGCGUCGCAGCGGCCACAUUCACGUGGAUCAAGUCCCAAAGCGUCUGCUGCGGCACCUCGUCAACGUACAUCGGUGUGUCGUGCGAGACGCCAACGUUAUUGACUGUGCAAAACCAAACCCCAAUUAGAGUGUUACAGUGCGAAGGGGAGGGAAAGGAGGCGUGGAGCCGACACUUACCCAAAAUGCCAACAUCCAGCGGAACGAGUGCUUUCUCGAGCUGAGGAUAGAUCUCAGCGCCUUUGGAGAAAUCUGCCACCAGAACCUUGGUCUCCACACCGUGCUUGGCCUUUAUUUCGUCGGCUACCUUGUUUAGCUUGGCUGCAUUGCGCGCUACCAGCACGAUCGCCAUACCUUUCCCCGCGAGGUAGUGUGCGUAUCCCUUGCCAAUGCCGUCCGAUGCACCGGUGAUGACUAGAAUUGAGUCGAAGAUUGAGUCACUGGUUUGCAGCCAACGCAUAGAAAAGCGGUCGACACUCACCGGCCCAUUGGCCAUAUCGUUGAGAGAGCUUCUGUCGGAACACCAGCUGCCUGAGGGUCUGUAGCACCAGCAGCACCGGAGUGCGGAAGUUUUCGUACAACCAUACGGCAGCCACGUAAACCCCGAGACAGGCAGCUAACGAGCAGUACAUGUUGCCGGUUUCAAUAAUCGCAACUUACUACACUGCGCGAGCAAUUUAUCGGCUCAAUGUACUCUACUUUACGGCCGAGAAAGAGCGAAUGACGUUUGACCGGCAAGGCGCAGUGAAUGAAUGCGCAGCAGCAUAUCGUGAUAAACGACGUCUCGUAAUCAGAAUGACAUAAACGAAUAGUACGGGGCGAAAGGUGACCAAACAAAUGGUGCAUGUAGCAUCAGACAAGGCAGCAUUUCAAACAGAAAUAGCUUAACUUCACGUUUCGAAAUUCACACUGAUAACGAUUCACGAUGAGAGUGCUCAUUUCGUACGAUAAGAGUUCGAAGGGAGCGAGGGAGAGCGUGCAAUGGGAAACAACAGCUGCUAAUAUGUGCAGGGGUUGUCAAACUCAAUCGAAGUGGGAACUAUUUGCGUCGUUUUUUUUUUCGCUAAGAUAAUUAUGAUUAAAGAAAGGUAUUUAGUUUUACUCUG